GGGGAUCUGUUAGAGCAAUCGAAGCAGUGAACUUAAGCCCCAGUAAACGGCGGCCGUAACUAUAACGGUCCUAAGGUAGCGAAAUUCCUUGUCGGGUAAGUUCCGACCCGCACGAAAGGCGUAACGAUUUGGGCACUGUCCCAACAACAGACUCGGUGAAAUUGUAAUUCCGGUGAAGAUGCCGGAUACCUGCGACAGGACGGAAAGACCCCAUGGAGCUUUACUGUAGCUUGACAUUGGGUCUUGGUACUACAUGUACAGGAUAGGUGGGAGGCUUUGAAACCAGGACGCCAGUUUUGGCGGAGCCAUCCUUGGGAUACCACCCUUGUAGUACUGGGACUCUAACCAUAGGCCAUGAAUCUGGUCUUGGGACACUGUCAGGUGGGCAGUUUGACUGGGGCGGUCGCCUCCCAAAAGGUAACGGAGGCGCUCAAAGGUUCUCUCAGUACGG
rnacentral:rRNA from 1 species